AGAGAUUUCAAAAGAUCUUCAGAGUUUCGACUAAAAAAAUCUCCAAAGUAUCCCAAUUUACAGUUAAUAAGAAACAAAACAAAAAAAGAAAAAAGAAAAUAGAGCAAGAAAGUAUAUAUUAUUAGUUGAGAUUAGUAAGUACUAGUUACAUAUAUGGUAUAUGGUAUAUGGUAUUAAGUGUUGUUCUGAAAAAAAUGAUGCCCUAAGCCAAUGUUUCUUUUUGGUGAAAGGAGGCACGGCUUUGAGUAGGAGUAAAUAAUAAAUUAAUUUCUAAAUCUUUUCUCGUUUUGGAGACCCUUCGCUUUAGUUUAUGCAAAUAACUGCAUUUUUCUAGAUAUCACAGUCAUAUGUUGCACUCUAUAGAUGUAUCAGUUUCCCACGAGAAUAAGGUGUAUAUGGACCACCUCUUGAUUGUUUAAUGAUAUUUAUGAAUAGCUAUGGACAAAAAGAUAACACCUCACAUAAUUCCAAAGGCUAGUACUUAGCAUCAGAUUGGUUGAGCUUCCACAUGGGAAUCUUUGAAAAUUUUGUAUUCUUCUAUGCAUUUACCAAAUAUAUAAUUCUUAGAUAUAGUUAUAAACAAAAAGAGUGAUAUGCAUAUGGUGUAUCGAAUUUCUAAAUACAUAUAUAAUAUAUGGAAUGAAUAUGAUUUACUAGCUAAUUGCCUCUGCUGUGUUUUUUCUUUUUGGUGAUUGCCUUUGCUGUGUUUGUUAACUUGAUCUAUAAAUAUCAUUUUUCCUUACGUCUGUAAGAAUAUAAAACACGUAAAACAGCACACACUUACCCACUAUUAAAUAGCUUAAUAUACGCAAGAGCAUGAAAGCUCUUGUUUCUGUUUUUUUUUUCUGUAAAAAUAUCAAAACAUAUUCAUCGACUCAACGCUCUCAUCAAAAGGUCCAAAACAUUCUUUGUAUAACUCAAUUACCAGUCUUAAAAUCAUAGAUACUAUUACUGUUUUAUUUUUCAUAAUACAUUUGGUAAUAAGGCAAGUAUUGUUUACUUAUAUUUUUCAAGUGAAAAGACGUGAAGGUGUUUUAAUACCGCAUGUCUAAGCUUCUGGAAGUUGAUAAGGUAAAAUAUCAAGGAAUUAUUCAUUGAGGAACAAUGAUUAAUUUUAAAAGUAUGAUUGAGAAUGGAUGUAAUAUCUCCAUAGUUCCUAGUGCCCUUUUAUAUCAUUUGUAUCCCCACUAAAAUAAAUUUACGAGAAAAUGUUACAACAUACAAUGCUAUUAUAUUAUAUCACCUUUAGUUUGGCUUUUUACCUAGUUAUAGACAUAUUAAAAUAAUGACUUGAAAUGAAAAUUUGAAAUUAUAAGAAAGUUCACUAUAAUACUCUAUAAGACUAGUAAAUAUUUUCAUGAAAUAAUAUUUAUUAGUUAAAUUGUAAUCGUAUUAGUAAACAAAAGGUAUGGCUUUUUAAAAGAUAAUGAACUUACUUAGAGCAAAAUCUAAAUUAUUAAGUAAUCAAUUCAACAUUUAUACUAUGCAUUUAUAGUAUGCUUCAAGACAUUUCCAAGACUCAAGCAUACACAUAGUUUAAUUAUUCAUCUAUCCGGGUAAUAGUAGUUGUAAACGGUCCUCACCCGAAACCCACAAUCAAUAUAUCCUAAGAGCUAUUUAUUAAUAUUCAUGUUAUUUUAAAAACAAAUGUUUUGAAGUUUUAUAUAUCGAAAAUACAACGUAAAACACACAUAAAAAUCCAGGAUCGUUAGUGUAUAGUAAUCAUGUACAAACAAAUGUAACACAAUAUGUGAUGCCACCUGAAACAAACAUAAUAUAUGAUUUAAGUUGGCAUGAGCUAAAGAGAAUCUUGUGAGAUUAGUAUAUUUGACCGCUUAGAUUUUGAUUCAGAAUCAAGCAGAGCCAUCGUAACCCAUCACUUCCACAAAUUCUUCACACACUUAUCUAACUCAGAGAUUUUAUCUUGACUUGGUAUGCAUGUCAAUCAAGUAAUUGGAUUUAAUAGAGUAGAUGUUGGACCUUACUAGCAGCUAUAAUAUGUCAUGUGAUGACAUAAGGUACCAUUGAUGAAUUUUUUUUAUGUGCCUCCGUCAAUGAUUUGAUUUAAUAGUACUAUAAAAUUAUGCACAAUCAAGUUUAGUGCAUUCACUACAAGAAAACGUAACCGACUCCGACGAAAAGUCCCGAUAACCCAAGUUCUCGGAAAAUCUCCAACGACUAACCGAGAAAAUGUUGAGGAAUUUUCAAAUUCAUCGGAAAUUUGUAGAAACUUUCGGACGAAAAUAGACGAUCGACAAAUUCUCGAUCUUGUAUUGCUUUUCAAACCAAAGUUCCUUAAACCACCGCGCUUGAUCUCCUUGCACCGCCACUAUGCAACUCCUUCCACCGCCGUCACCUCUCACUCCACCGCCACCGUCACGGCCAGCUUCAUAUCCUACAUAGGUACCAUCGCCCACUACAUCGGGAACCGUGUACCCUACACCGGCACCGUCGCACUCUACGCCAGCACCGUCGCACUCUACGCCGUCACUGUCACAUUCUACGCUGGCACCGUCGCACUCGCAUCCUGAACGGGCACUAUCCGUAAUAACUAAUAAUAUAGUUUUAUUUUUAUUUUUAUUUUUGUUUUAUGGUUUAUAGAAGUUUUAUUUUAAUUUCUUUAUAUGUAAUGAAUAUUCUGUAAUUUUAAUAUUAUUCGAGUUUGCCUU